ACGGGAGGCAGCAGUAGGGAAUCUUGGACAAUGGGCGCAAGCCUGAUCCAGCCAUGCCGCGUGAGUGAAGAAGGCCUUAGGGUUGUAAAGCUCUUUUGGCGGGGACGAUAAUGACGGUACCCGCAGAAUAAGCCCCGGCUAACUUCGUGCCAGCAGCCGCGGUAAUACGAAGGGGGCUAGCGUUGUUCGGAAUUACUGGGCGUAAAGCGCACGCAGGCGGAUCGAUAAGUCAGGGGUGAAAUCCCGGGGCUCAACCUCGGAAUUGCCUUUGAUACUGUCGAUCUCGAGUCCGGGAGAGGUGAGUGGAAUUCCUAGUGUAGAGGUGAAAUUCGUAGAUAUUAGGAAGAACACCAGUGGCGAAGGCGGCUCACUGGCCCGGUACUGACGCUCAGGUGCGAAAGCGUGGGGAGCAAACAGGAUUAGAUACCCUGGUA
rnacentral:rRNA from 1 species